rnacentral:lncRNA from 1 species
UGGGGACACUUAACACAAAAGGUGUGGUAAUACAAAUUUUCACAUGAUUAAGUGUUUGAAUAAUGUUAAAAAAUAAUGGAUUCUAGGAAAAUAAAUUAUGGGCUAUUAUAUUAAAGAAGAAAUUAUAGACAUGCUAAAUUUAAUUUGUGUCUUCAUGGAUAAGUACAAUUUGAAUAGGUAUGUUAGGAGCCCUGGAGGCAAAGGGUAACAUCUCAAGAGAGCAGGUACAAAAAAAAUCUGGCAUAUUGGGAUGAGUGAAAAACUGGCUAGAUGACAGCAGAAAUCACAGGCUAUGUGAAGAGAAAGAAAAGUUUUAUUAAGGUUUGAUAAAAUGGUAAGAAGCUUUGAAUCACUGAGAAACUCACCAGAUGUAAGAGCACAGAUUAUUGCCUUUUGUUUUAUUUUGGUUUAGGAUUUGGUGCUAGGGAUAGAACCCAGUGCCUUAUACAAACUAAGUAUGCAUUCUACCUCUGAACUAUAUCCCCAGCCAAUUCUCUUGAUUUUUAGAUUAUUUGUAAAUAAAAUUUUGCUUUGUAACCAUGUGGUAAUCAUGUAGGUUUUUAUCUUUUUAGAAAGCUUAUGUGAAAUUAUAUUAGGGAGUGAAGUAACCAUACUAUUAAGUUUAGAGUGUCUUUCCCUGGGAUUCCUUAAUGAACUUUUGAGAGUCUGGAUCUCUCUG